rnacentral:rRNA from 1 species
UACGUAGGGGGCAAGCGUUGUCCGGAAUCAUUGGGCGUAAAGAGCGUGUAGGCGGCCCGAUAAGUCCGCUGUGAAAGUCCAGGGCUCAACCCUGGAAUGCCGGUGGAUACUGUCGGGCUCGAAUCCGGAAGAGGUGAGUGGAAUUCCUGGUGUAGCGGUGAAAUGCGCAGAUAUCAGGAGGAACACCGAUAGCGAAGGCAGCUCGCUGGGACGGUACUGACGCUAAGGCGCGAAAGCGUGGGGAGCGAACAGG